GGAAGGAUCAUUAUUGAUUGUAAUCGUUGCCCUCAGUGCUGGCCCCCGGCAAGUGCACGCUGGUGACUUCAAUCCAAUACCCUGUGCACCAUUGGCCUUUGCUAGCUUCGGCUGGCAGAGGAUAUUUACACCCACUCGAAUGUAAUGAAAUUAUUAUUGUGCGCAAGCACGAAUGUACAACUUUCAACAACGGAUCUCUUGGCUCUCGCAUCGAUGAAGAACGCAGCGAAAUGCGAUAAGUAAUGUGAAUUGCAGAAUUCAGUGAAUCAUCGAAUCUUUGAACGCACCUUGCACCCUUUGGCAUUCCGAAGGGUAUGCUCGUUUGAGUGUCAUUGUACUCUCACACUCCCAAUUCUUUGGAUUGGGAGCGGUGGACUUGGGUGCUGCUGCUAACUGUGGCUCACCUCAAAUGUGUUAGUGCAACCAUUGGUUAAGACAUAGCACAGCGUGAUAUGUAUCUUCGCUGGCGCCUCACUCGAGGGUGGCUGACCAGGGCUCUGUGCUUCUAAUCGUCUUCGGACACUGCUGACAACUUGGCCUCAAAUCGAGUAGGACUACCCGCUGAACUUAAGCAUAUCAAUAAGCGGAGGAAAAGAAACUAACAAGGAUUCCCCUAGUAACGGCGAGUGAAGAGGGAAGAGCUCAAAUUUUGAAUCUGGCGUCUUUGGCGUCCGAAUUGUAAUCUAGAGAAGUGUUUUCCAUGACGGACCGUGCAUAAGUCUCCUGGAAUGGAGUGUCAUAGAGGGUGAGAAUCCCGUUUAUGGCACGGACUCCCGUUGUCCUGUGAUACACUCUCGACGAGUCGAGUUGUUUGGGAAUGCAGCUCCAAAUGGGUGGUAAAUGCCAUCUAAAGCUAAAUAUUGGCGAGAGACCGAUAGCGACAGUACCGUGAGGAAGAAUGAAAAGCACUUGGAAAAAAGUGAAACAGUACGUGAAAUUGUUGAAGGGAAACCCUUGAAGUCAGUCGUGCGUCGGGAUUCAGCCUGCUUCUGGCUCGGUUUACUUUCCGGUUCGGGGGUCA
rnacentral:rRNA from 1 species